GAUGAACGCUAGCGGCAGGCCUAAUACAUGCAAGUCGAACGGUGUCUUCGGACAUAGUGGCGCACGGGUGCGUAACACGUAUGCAACCUACCUUACAUUGGGGGAUAGCCUUUCGAAAGGGAGAUUAAUACCGCAUAAGACAGUAGCUGGGCAUCCAGCAGCUGUUAAAGAUUUAUCGAUGUAAGCUGGGCAUGCGUCCAAUUAGCUAGUUGGUGAGGUAACGGCUCACCAAGGCAAUGAUUGGUAGGGGAACUGAGAGGUCAAUCCCCCACACGGGCACUGAGAUACGGGCCCGACUCCUACGGGAGGCAACAGUAGGGAAUAUUGGGCAAUGGACGCAAGUCUGACCCAGCCAUGCCGCGUGCAGGAUGAAGGCGUUAUGCGUUGUAAACUGCUUUUAUACAGGAAGAAACGACUCUUGCGAGAGGCAUUGACGGUACUGUAUGAAUAAGCACCGGCUAACUCCGUGCCAGCCGCCGCCGUAAAAC
rnacentral:rRNA from 1 species